UAGAAAGUGGUAAAAUGGAAUUACAGAGAGUCUUGGUUUCUCAGUUAUAGGUUCAAUUCCUAUCUUUCUAA
rnacentral:tRNA from 1 species